rnacentral:rRNA from 1 species
UCCGUGCCGUAGGGAAACCAUUAAGUACGCCGCCUGGGGAGUACGGCCGCAAGGUUGAAACUCAAAUGAAUUGACGGGGGCCCGCACAAGCGGUGGAGCAUGUGGUUUAAUUCGACGCUACGCGCAGAACCUUACCUGGGCUUGACAUGUUUGUGGUAGGAACCCGAAAGGGUGACGACCCAUUCUUCGGAAUGGGAGCUUACACAGGUGCUGCAUGGCUGUCGUCAGCUCGUGCCGUGAGGUGUUGGGUUAAGUCCCGCAACGAGCGCAACCCUCAUCCUUUGUUGCCCUUAACGGGGCUCUCUAAGGAAACUGCCGGCGAAGAGCUGGAGGAAGGUGGGGAUGACGUCAAGUCCGCAUGGCCCUUAUGCCCAGGGCUACACACGUGCUACAAUGGCAGAUACAAAGGGUGGCCAAACCGCGAGGUGGAGCCAAUCUCAUAAAGUCUGUCCAAGUUGGGAUCGGAGUCUGCAAUUCGACUCCGUGAACCUGGAAUCGCUAGUAAUCGUGGAUCAGAACGCCACGGUGAAUACGUUCCCGGGCCUUGUACACACCGCCCGUCACACCACGAAAGUCUGUUGUACCCGAAGUGGGUGAGCCAACCAGCAAUGGAGGCAGCUUCCUAAGGUAUGGCCGGUAA